rnacentral:rRNA from 1 species
UAGACCGCCUGGGGAGUACGGCCGCAAGGUUAAAACUCAAAUGAAUUGACGGGGGCCCGCACAAGCGGUGGAGCAUGUGGUUUAAUUCGAUGCAACGCGAAGAACCUUACCUGGUCUUGACAUCCACAGAACUUUCCAGAGAUGGAUUGGUGCCUUCGGGAACUGUGAGACAGGUGCUGCAUGGCUGUCGUCAGCUCGUGUUGUGAAAUGUUGGGUUAAGUCCCGCAACGAGCGCAACCCUUAUCCUUUGUUGCCAGCGGUCCGGCCGGGAACUCAAAGGAGACUGCCAGUGAUAAACUGGAGGAAGGUGGGGAUGACGUCAAGUCAUCAUGGCCCUUACGACCAGGGCUACACACGUGCUACAAUGGCGCAUACAAAGAGAAGCGACCUCGCGAGAGCAAGCGGACCUCAUAAAGUGCGUCGUAGUCCGGAUUGGAGUCUGCAACUCGACUCCAUGAAGUCGGAAUCGCUAGUAAUCGUGGAUCAGAAUGCCACGGUGAAUACGUUCCCGGGCCUUGUACACACCGCCCGUCACACCAUGGGAGUGGGUUGCAAAAGAAGUAGGUAGCUUAACCUUCGGGAGGGCGCUUACCACUUUGUGAUUCAUGACUGGGGUGAAGUCGUAACAAGGUAACCGUAGGGGAACCUGCGGUUGGAUCACCUCCUUACCUGAAAGAAGC